rnacentral:tRNA from 1 species
AAACAAUAGCAUUUAUGCAUUUUGAUUUCGGCUCAAAAAGAGGAAAUUUCCAUUGUUUA